rnacentral:lncRNA from 1 species
UAUCUAAUCCAACAUUUUAUCUAAUCCAAUAUGUUAUCACACCACAACAGAAUUAUAUUAUAGAGACAGAUUUUUUGGACACUUUUAUAUAAGUGCCCUAUUUAUGUCAAAUUUUUUAAAAAAAAUCUAUUAAGACCUAAAUAUAAAGCGCAAUCCAAUCAAAAAUAAAAAAUUUCUCUACUCAACCAACCACACCCAGCUCACUCGGCCCGAUUUCAAAUAAAAAAGAAAAAAAAUAAUAAAAUUGAUUACCAUCUCCCCUUCUUCUUUCCGUCAUCGCAGCCGAUAAGGAAGGGGUUCUGGCGACUGGAGUUCGGCCGCGAGAAUCUCGUAGGGACCAUAGAGGACUACCAUCGCCACGUAUCCCUCCGCCAUAGGUCGCUGAAGGAGUGGGUGCCAAAUAUCAAGACGGCCCUAUUUAUAGCGACCCCACAUAUAGCAACACUUUUAAAAAGUAUUAGUAAUUUAGCCAACAGCACUUUUUUUUGUCUAUAUCGAUAUUUGAAAGUGUCGUUGUACACCGUUUUUUUUAUAGUGUCAAAUGUACUUUUUCUACAUAUUUUUCCACAAAUUACGAUAUUUUCAGAAAUACUAAUUCCUUCGUAUUAUUACAUUGUUUUUCAAUAAUAGAACCUUCGAAUCGGCAAUCGAUAUUGAAAAAUACGAUCUAUGGAAACAAGACUCGAAUAUUACUUAAGUGGUUUCAAAAUUAUUGAUUUUCGGUAAUGCAAAGUGCAUUUGCGACCACUUGAUGAUCAGUAGGUAAAUCAUAUCAAAAAAGAUUACGAACUUCUAUUUCUGGAAUUAAAGUUUGUGCGCCGUGCACCAUGNUUUAUUUAAUUAAUAAUUAGACUUAUAAAACUAUAUAAAAAUAUUAAAAAAAUAAAAUUUAUUAUAAAAAUAUUUUAGAUCCACAGCAUCGCGCGCGGAUAUUUCACUAGUGUAUUAUUAUGUGGAAGGACCCUUUUGAGUUAUUAAGCCUUGUCACGUGGGCCAUUAUUAAUUAUUAUUAAAAGCACUAAUUAGCUAUCUACAUGUGCCCUAUAAUUACAAAAAAAAAUAAAAUAUAAAAAAAUAAGAGGGGCCUAUAAUUUUACAUCAAUUGAUAUGACAUAAAGAUAUGACAUAAAGAAAAGGAGUAUUGAAAAAUAAUAAUAAUAAUAAUAAUAAUAAUAAUAAUUUAGGUUAAAAAGAUGUGUUUUUAUUAUUCUCAAAUACAGGUUGUUUGAAAAUAAUGUGUUUUUAUUACUCUGAAAUUUAAGCUGUUUAAAAAUGAUUAUCCAAUCUUUAAAAAUAAUAAUAAAAAAAAAGCUCCUUGACCAAAAUAAUCUUGUAAAUUGUAUAUAUUUAUGCAUAUUUAGAAAGAAAAAAAAAAUUAAAGGUCAUUUUGAAAUGGUCACACUAAGUUUUGCUUUUCUUAGUUGAUAUCCUCAAAUUUUUAUUUCUUUUCUAAAAUUAAGUUAUUUUAGUUAACUAAAUUAUCUUCUUAUCAAAUUCGAAAUGAUUUUAUCAAAUUAAAUAGUUUUAAUUAUUGUUUAGUAAAUAAAACUAAAUAUAAUAAAUAUCUAUCAACUAACUUUUAAAAUUUAUAAAUAUAUACCUUGACUAAUCAAAAGACAUCGUACUUUACUUAAAAAAAGACAAGUAAUAAUAUAAAAAAAAAGUUAAAUUAAAUUAAAAAUCAAGACCUAAUUAGCAUAUGUGAAAGAUAUUCCAUAAAGGUCAACACACGUUAUCUAAUCCAACAUUUUAUCUAAUCCAAUAUGUUAUCACACUACAACAGAAUUAGAUUAUAGAGACAGAUUUUUGGGACACUUUUAUAUAAGUGUCCUAUUUAUGCCAAAUUUUUUUAAAAAAUCUAUUAAGACCUAAAUAUAAAGCGCAAUCCAAUCAAAAAUAAAAAGUUUCUCUACUCGACCAACCACGCCCAACUCACUCGGCCCGAUUUCAAAUAAAAAAGAAAAAAAAAAAAAUUGAUUACCAUCUCCCCUUCUUCUUUCCGCCGUCACAGCCGAUAAGGAAGGGUUAUGGCGGCUGGAGUUUGGCCGCGAGAAUCUCGCAGGGACCAUAGAGGACUACCAUCGCCACGUAUCCCUCCGUCAUAGGUCUCUAAAGGAGUGGGUGCCAAAUAUCAAGACGGCCCUACCUACAACGACCGCACAUAUAGCAAUACUUUUAAAAAGUAUCGGUAAUUUAACCAACAGCACUUUUUUUUACCUAUAUCGAUAUUUGAAAGUGUCGUUGUAUACCGUUUUUUUUGUAGUGUCAAAUAUACUUUUUCUACGUAUUUUUCCACAAAUUACGAUAUCUUCAGAAAUACUAAUUCCUUCGUAUUAUUACAUUGUUUUUCAAUAAUAGAACCUUCGAAUCGGCAAUCGAUAUUGAAAAAUACGAUCUAUGGAAACAUGACUCGAAUAUUACUUAAGUGGUUUCAAAAUUAUUGAUUUUCGGUAAUGCAAAGUGCAUUUGCGACCACUUGAUGAUCAGUAGGUAAAUCAUAUCAAAAAAAAUUACGAACUUCUAUUUCUGGAAUUAAAGUUCGUGCGCCGUGCACCAUGUUUAA